rnacentral:rRNA from 1 species
GGCGUCCUACGGGAGGCAGCAGUGGGGGAUAUUGCACAAUGGGGGGAACCCUGAUGCAGCGACGCCGCGUGGGUGAAGAAGCGCCUCGGCGCGUAAAGCCCUGUCAGCAGGGAAGAAAAUGACGGUACCUGAAGAAGAAGCCCCGGCUAACUACGUGCCAGCAGCCGCGGUAAUACGUAGGGGGCAAGCGUUAUCCGGAUUUACUGGGUGUAAAGGGAGCGUAGACGGCAGCACAAGUCUGGAGUGAAAUCCCGGGGCUUAACCCCGGAACUGCUUUGGAAACUGUGCGGCUGGAGUGCAGGAGG